UACGUAGGGGGCAAGCGUUAUCCGGAUUUACUGGGUGUAAAGGGAGCGUAGGUGGUUUGAUAAGUCAGAAGUGAAAGCCCAGGGCUUAACCCUGGGACUGCUUUUGAAACUAUCAAACUAGAGUGCAGGAGAGGUAAGUGGAAUUCCUAGUGUAGCGGUGAAAUGCGUAGAUAUUAGGAGGAACACCAGUGGCGAAGGCGGCUUACUGGACUGUAACUGACACUGAGGCUCGAAAGCGUGGGGAGCAAACAGG
rnacentral:rRNA from 2 species